UACGAAGGGGGCUAGCGUUGCUCGGAAUCACUGGGCGUAAAGCGCACGUAGGCGGCUUUUUAAGUCCGGGGUGAAAUCCUGGAGCUCAACUCCAGAACUGCCUUUGAUACUGGGAAGCUUGAGUCCGGAAGAGGUGAGUGGAACUCCGAGUGUAGAGGUGAAAUUCGUAGAUAUUCGGAAGAACACCAGUGGCGAAGGCGGCUCACUGGUCCGGUACUGACGCUGAGGUGCGAAAGCGUGGGGAGCAAACAGG
rnacentral:rRNA from 1 species